GGGAAAACUUACCGGGUCCGGACACACUGAGGAUUGACAGGCGACCAUUUGUAAAUAUGCUAGUCCUUUCAUGAUUGUGUGAUAGGUGGUGCAUGGCCGUUCUUAGUUCGUGGAGUGAUCUGUCUGCUUAAUUGCGUUUCAGAUAAAUGUGAGGUAUAGAGUGUAUGUUGUGUUUGUUUGUUGUUGUUAACUCAGCGACAACGACCGACUGAACUCUCCUCAUUGAAAGCAACGA
rnacentral:rRNA from 1 species